ACGGGGUGCAGCAGGCGUGAAAACUUUACAAUGCUGGCAACAGCGAUAAGGGAACCUCGAGUGCCAGGUUACAAAUCUGGCUGUCGAGAUGCCUAAAAAGCAUUUCAUAGCAAGGGCCGGGCAAGACCGGUGCCAGCCGCCGCGGUAACACCGGCGGCUCGAGUGGUAACCGUUAUUAUUGGGUCUAAAGGGUCUGUAGCCGGCCGGAUAAGUCUCUUGAGAAAUCUGGCAGCUUAACUGUCAGGCUUUCAGGAGAUACUGUCUGGCUCGAGGCCGGGAGAGGUGAGAGGUACUUCAGGGGUAGGGGUGAAAUCUUGUAAUCCUUGAAGGACCACCAGUGGCGAAGGCGUCUCACCAGAACGGACCUGACGGCAAGGGACGAAAGCUAGGGGCACGAACCGGAUUAGAUACCCGGGUAGUCCUAGCCGUAAACGAUACUCGCUAGGUGUCGGCCACGGUGCGACCGUUGUCGGUGCCGUAGGGAAGCCGUGAAGCGAGCCACCUGGGAAGUACGGCCGCAAGGCUGAAACUUAAAGGAAUUGGCGGGGGAGCACCGCAACGGGUGGAGCUUGCGGUUUAAUUGGAUUCAACGCCGGA
rnacentral:rRNA from 1 species